CUUUUUUGAGACAAAUCAUUGGCAUCCUAAUCUUCUGAUUCCCAUGAAAGACUCACUUUCAAGAUACAAUUGCAGCUGCCCCACACUGCCAGUUACUGUAUCAUACACGUCUUAAAAUUCUGUAAUCAGCAUCCACCAGGUGCCGUAUCGCAUUCAGCACACCACAGUCAGUCAAUACAGACAUCCCCAAACACACCAAGGCUGGUUUUGUCAAAUGUUUUAUUGAGUGUAGACAUCUGGAGUACUGUAAAACAUGCAUUAUCUGUAGAUUCAAAAAGGAGCAAGCCACAUUGUCCUCACUGUCAAACGUGUCAGGCUUGGCAUACAUGAUGGAGAUUAAUGAAGUAUCAUGAGAGUAAUAUGGUUCCUGAAAAGCUUCUACAAUUUGGAGUAGGGUCUUAAUCGUUUCAAAUGCAAAGCUGUUCACAUUUAGUGAACUUGCAUGUUCACCGGAGGUGCCGUAUUUUAAUUCAAAACAAACAAGAAUAAUUUCACUGGGGGAAGGGGAGGUUCCCUAGGUAGAAACUGUAUGCUUUUUGUUUCCAGAUAUUCCAUACCAAAUAAAAAUUCAUAUGCUUUUUGAAGCAGCACAGUUUAUUUCUGAGCAACGAACAACGUCUGAUACUCAUUUCUUCUUGGGUUGCUGGGGUGUAUUAAAUUUAAAGAAGAUAAUAUCUCCAUCUUCCACAAUGUAAUUCCUGCCUUGUUGCCUGUACUUUCCAGCAGCCUUGACAGCAGCUUCUGAACCUCCUUCUUUAAAGUCUUCAUAUUUCAUUACCUCAGCCAUAAUGAAUCCCUUUUCGAAAUCCGUGUGAAUCUUCCCUGCCGCCUGAGGAGCCUUCGUCCCUUUCCUGAUGGUCCAUGCACGCACUUCAUCUGGGCCUGCGGUGAAAAAGUAUUCUAGUUGGAGUGCUGCAUAUCCAGCCUUAAUGAUCUUUGGUAAAGCACUUUGUGUCAUGUUCUCUUCCAGAUACUUCUGUUUCUCCUCAGCACUCAUAUCUUGCAACUUGAGUUCCAAGGCCCCACUAAAAGGAAUGACCAAAGCACCCGGGUCGUGCUUGUCCACCCACUCUUUAAUUUUUAUCAACCAUUUGUUUUUCUUUCUAAUGUAGUCUUUUUCAGAGAGGUUAACCAAAUAGAUCAUGGGUUUUGAAGUGAAAAACAAAUGUUUGUUCAAAACAUCGAUCUCUUUGUCAUUCCAAUCAUGAUAGAAGCGGACAGCUUUCUUUUCAUCUAUUACCCAGGUUUUGAUUUUGCACAUUACAUCGUAUUCAGGUUUCAACUUCUUGUCUCCUCCUCUCACAGCUACUUUUUCUAGCUUGUCUAUACUCUGCGUGAUCAGUUCUUCAUCUUUAAGUCUAAGUUCCUCAUGUAUUAUUUCAAUGUCUCGAACAGGAUCUACACUCCCUUCCACGUGAGUGAUGUCAUCAUCUUCAAAUGCUCGCAUCAGAUGAAAGAUCCCAUCACAGGCGUUAAUAUGAGACAAAAAGGAAUUUCCUAAGCCUUGGCCAGUAUGGGCUCCUUUCACAAGGCCAGCAAUAUCCACUACAUUCAGAAAGGCUGGAAUUUUGCUUGGAGGCUUGUGGUACUGGC
rnacentral:lncRNA from 1 species